UCUGUAGCGUCAUGAAGGUGUCUUGUGUUCUGUAGCGUCAUGAAGGUGUCUUGUGUGUUCUGUAGCGUCCUGAAGGUGUCUUGUGUGUUCUGUAGCGUCAUGAAGGUGUCUUGUGUGUUCUGUAGCGUCAUGAAGGUGUCUUGUGUGUUCUGUAGCGUC